rnacentral:rRNA from 1 species
AAAACUUUCAACAACGGAUCUCUUGGUUCUGGCAUCGAUGAAGAACGCAGCGAAAUGCGAUAAGUAAUGUGAAUUGCAGAAUUCAGUGAAUCAUCGAAUCUUUGAACGCACAUUGCGCCCCUCGGUAUUCCAAGGGGCAUGCCUGUUCGAGCGUCAUUAC